UAUAUCGUGGGAUGCAUAUCUGCUUUGUGGUCCUCUUUUGAGCAAAACCCAUCACAGAGGAUGGUAAAUUUUUGAAUAGUCCUCGUGCUAGGAUUUAAUUGGGUUACUCUGAUCAUGGAGACUGCUCCUUUUUCUUUUCUAGCACGGGAAAUCCACUGUCCAGGUGCAAGUUCCAGCAUGUGAGAGGGUGGAGACAAGAGAGUAGGAAUGGAGAAAGCAGCUAUAUUGACUUCUCUUCAGCCUCUUCCAAAAUUUAGGACACAUCAGACAGAAAGUUAAGACCAAGUUGGAUGAGUGGCUGAGGCCAGUUAAUGAAGCUUUAAUUGACAUUUUUAAUCAGGAAAGACUGAUUCCUUUAUAAAAAUUGCUAUCUCUCCUUAGUCACUCUAACUUCAUACUGUAAAUUUCCAAUUAAAAACAAUGCUGGUCAUUAGGCAAAUAUCUCAUGUACAUUUGAAUUUUGUAGCACAAAGUGAUUUACAGCCUAUGAACUGGUGUCAGAUCCAAUAAAAACAUGUGCAGAGGAUGUUCUCAACUGCUCAUUUCUGUUUGUCUGUCAUCCUUUAGUUCUUUACCUGUAAAUGUACCCAAACAUUAUAUUCUCAUGCUCACAUGUUUCUAGCAUACAUUUGCAGGCCUAAAUUUUUGAACUGCAGGCAGAUUGAAAUGUGAUUUUUUUUAUUAUUAAAGCCUCAAAGAACAGGUGUUAUAGAUAAUCAAUUAUUAUUGUAGGCAUUUAAUAAAUAAUGCUAUUUCUCUCAGUCACAUCUAGAAGUUGGAAGUAAAGAGAGGUUCAGAUGAUCUCUGUGAUCAAAUAAUUUUCAGCAAGAUUUUGGUGAAGGCAUAUGUAUCCAUGAGCUGCAGCUUGGUUGCAAGGUGCCCUCUGUCCCAGCAGGGUCAUCAUAUGAUCCCAUAGGGAUCUGACACAUGCAAAGCCUAACUUCAAGGAUGACAGUGUUACAGUACCCAGCCUUGUCUUUCCUGAUAUACUCUGAGAACCCUAACCAGUCAUGUAAAAGAUGGGGACAGGAUGUAUUUGCAAAUUUCAUGCUCUUUUGAA